GGAAGGAAGCUUCCACGUCUCAACAGCCUCAUUUCCGUCUGUUAGAAACCACAGUGACCACUGAUGUGACUACUGGCUGAUGACCGCUGAACAUUAUUUCAUCUGCAGACACAGAUUAGAUGAGCAGUGAUGAGUUUAAAUGCAGCAGUGAGUGGAUUUGUCGUCGUCCUUCUCUCUGUGUCAGUGGUGCAGGGUCAGACUGGCUGGUCGGUGACUUACACUUCUACUCAGAUCUGUGCUGCAGCAGGAUCAACAGUGGACAUAAAAUGCUCCUAUACGUACCCAGCAAAGAUAAAACAAACAAAAACAAAGGUUCAACAAAGAUUGUGGUUCAUUAAAGAGAAGAAUAAAGUUGAGGUGGAUGUGAAAACAGACCCAGACUACUCAGGUCGUGUUAAGUAUUUUCAGGACGUCAGCACUCUGAGAAUCUCAGACCUGAGAGAGAGCGACUCGGCCGAGUACAAGUUCAGAUUCAUAACAAACCAUCAGGGUGGAGGAUUUACUGGUUCACCUGGCGUCACUCUGACUGUUACAGGUACGACUUUCUUUCCCAGACUUUAUCAUUUCGUUCCAAAUGUUAUUUACAUGUAUAUGAAGGUAAACUGUGUUUGUUCAGGUCUCCAGGUGCAGGUGAUCAAAUCAGAGUUGAACUUGAAUUCUACCAGGGCAGAGCUGAAAUGUCAGAGCAGUUGUCAACCUGCUCAUCGUUCCUAUGUCUGGUUUAGAAAUGACAAGAAGGUUUUGGAAGAAACAUCAGCUUCUUUUUUAACCACAGUUUAUUCUACACAAAAAUAUUCCUGUGCUUUAAAGGGACAUGAGACGUUCUCCUCUGCGUCAGUAUAUCCACCAAGGACUCCCUCUGUAUCAGUGAGUCCCUCUGAUGAGGUAGUGGACAAUAGUUCAGUGACUCUGAACUGUAGCAGUGAUGCUAACCAGCAGCUAACUACACCUGGUACAAGAGGAAUGGUCGUAAACUCCUCAGUAACAACUCAAAGCUUUUCUUCAGCUCCAUCCAGCCCUUUGACUCCGGAGAGUAUCGUUGUGCAGCUGUGAAUGAUCUGGGGAAGAAGUGGUCUGAAUACAAACUAAUUCAUGUGGAAUAUCCUCCAAGGCUUCCCUCGGUAUCAGUGAGUCCCUCUGGUGAGGUAAUGGAGGGCAGCUCAGUGACUCUGAGCUGUAGCAGUGAUGCUAACCCAGAGGCUAACUACACCUGGUACAAGGAGAAUGAAGACUCACCAAAAGCUUCAGGACACAUCUUCACCAUCACCGACAGCAGACCUGAACACAGUGGGAAUUAUUCCUGUGAAGCCCAGAACACAAGAGGGCGCCAUAACUCCACCGUACACCUGACGGUUGUAGCAGGAGCAGGAACAUCUGCAGCUGCAGGAGUAACUGCUGUCGUCCUACUCAGUCUCAUAUUCCUCUCUGUCUUCCUGUGGACUCGAAGGAAGUUGCCUCCCGAGAAGAAGUCACCUGAUGAGAAAGUAGACGACAGGGAGCAGGUGAAAACCUUCAUUCUGAUAUAAAUAAACCUUCACAUUUUCAGUCUGAAAGCUAUCGUGUCAUUGCAGACUCAACCAGAGCAGGAUGACCUGCAAUAUGCCGACGUCCUCUUCUUCAUCAAGGAGCCAGACUCUCUGUACUCCAACAUCAGAAUGAAACAACCCCACAGAAACAUGGAGGAGCCCGAAGUCACUGAAUAUUCUGCUGUUACCUUUAACACCACCACCACCACGUGAAAAUACAAUAAUAACCUAGAAGGACGGACAACGGAACAAAUAUUAUUUUAUUUCAUCUUUCAUUUUACCUGAGGUUUUUAAGAGUGUUACUUUUAAGUGCAACUACUGUGACCAAGUAAUUUCCCUCUAAGUCUAAGAAAUACAUCUUCACAACACAAGUCAGUGGAAUUAGAAUUAGAAUUAGAAAACCUUCAUCUGUGUCAUGAUUCUUUUCUUCGGGAUCACGUUUUAGUUUCCUGUUUUAUUUUGUUAAGUUUCUUGGUUUCCUGUUUUGUGUUGCUCCGUGUUCUUCCUUUGAAUGCUGAUUGGUUUGUCCUUGUGGCUCCGCCCUCAUUAGUUUCACCUGUGUCUCUAUAUAUAUAUAGCCCUGCCUUUCCCUUUGUUCCUGGUUGUGUUGUUUUUGUCCCCUUGUCUCCAUGCUGUGCUUUGUGUCUUCAUGUUCCGCGUCCAUGUCCACGUUUCUGCCCUCCUGCCAUGUUUCUUGUGUCCUUGUGUCUUUUCUUAACUUUUGUUUUCAUUAAAUUGUCUUUUUGUUUGAACGUCGGCCUCAUCACCUUCUGUCCUCCGUCUUGAUCCUGUUAAAAUUUAACGUCCUGACAGUUUAUCCCACACUGGGGAAAUUUCAGUUUACAACAGCAACAAAAGGACAGAAAACUAAUAAGAAUGAAGAGUGUAGGGUAUAAAAGACAAGUAAUAAAAUAAAGUAGAAUAAGAAAUACUAACAUGAUAAAAGUAUUGGCAUAUGUACUAAAAGUAUUGAGUUGCUCAGAUGGACCAGGUGUAACUGGGUUAUAAAGUUGUAAAUUAAGUAUGAAUAAAGUCUUUCUUGCUGUAUCUUCUGAAUCCUCUGGUUUCUCUCUCUCUCCUUUUAGAAACAGGCAUCAGGAAACUGCACAGGUUCUAUUUUCAUUUUACAGCUCAGUCAACAAAACCUGAUGAGACAACAGGACAUUCAAAGACUCUUUUCUACAGAUUUUCAGUUUAACUUGAAGCUUCAUGGAGGUUCUGU